rnacentral:rRNA from 1 species
UACGGAGGGUGCAAGCGUUAUCCGGAUUCACUGGGGUUAAAGGGUGCGUAGGCGGGCAGGUAAGUCAGUGGUGAAAUCUCCGGGCUUAACCCGGAAACUGCCGUUGAUACUAUCUGUCUUGAAUAUCGUGGAGGUAAGCGGAAUAUGUCAUGUAGCGGUGAAAUGCUUAGAUAUGACAUAGAACACCCAUUGCGAAGGCAGCUUACUACACGAUCAUUGACGCUGAGGCACGAAAGCGUGGGGAGCAAACAGG